UCGCGGUGGCGGAGCGUCGUUUGCGACGCCCAACACACAAAACAAGCGGUGAGUGCUUUGGGGUGGGGUGACUGCGUACCUUUUGUAUAAUGGGUCAGCGACUUAUAUUCUGUAGCAAGGUUAACCGUAUAGGGGAGCCGUAGGGAAACCGAGUCUUAACCGGGCGUUAAGUUGCAGGGUAUAGACCCGAAACCCGGUGAUCUAGCCAUGGGCAGGUUGAAGGUUGGGUAACACUAACUGGAGGACCGAACCGACUAAUGUUGAAAAAUUAGCGGAUGACCUGUGGCUGGGGGUGAAAGGCCAAUCAAACCGGGAGAUAGCUGGUUCUCCCCGAAAGCUAUUUAGGUAGCGCCUCGUGAACUCAUCUCCGGGGGUAGAGCACUGUUUCGGCUAGGGGGCCAUCCCGACUUACCAACCCGAUGCAAACUGCGAAUACCGAAGAAUGUUAUCACGGGAGACACACGGCGGGUGCUAACGUCCGUCGUGAAGAGGGAAACAACCCAGACCGCCAGCUAAGGUCCCAAAGUCAUGGUUAAGUGGGAAACGAUGUGGGAAGGCCCAGACAGCCAGGAUGUUGGCUUAGAAGCAGCCAUCAUUUAAAGAAAGCGUAAUAGCUCACUGGUCGAGUCGGCCUGCGCGGAAGAUGUAACGGGGCUAAACCAUGCACCGAAGCUGCGGCAGCGACGCUUAUGCGUUGUUGGGUAGGGGAGCGUUCUGUAAGCCUGCGAAGGUGGCCUGUGAGGGUUGCUGGAGGUAUCAGAAGUGCGAAUGCUGACAUAAGUAACGAUAAUGCGGGUGAAAAGCCCGCUCGCCGGAAGACCAAGGGUUCCUGUCCAACGUUAAUCGGGGCAGGGUGAGUCGACCCCUAAGGCGAGGCCGAAAGGCGUAGUCGAUGGGAAACGGGUUAAUAUUCCCGUA
rnacentral:rRNA from 1 species